GAUGAAGAACGUAGCGAAAUGCGAUACGUAAUGUGAAUUGCAGAAUUCAGUGAAUCAUCGAGUCUUUGAACGCACAUUGCGCCCCCUGGUAUUCCGGGGGGCAUGCCUGUCCGAGCGUCAUUGCUGCCCUCAAGCACGGCUUGUGUGUUGGGCCUCCGCCCCCCGGCUCCCGGGGGGCGGGCCCGAAAGGCAGCGGCGGCACCGCGUCCGGUCCUCGAGCGUAUGGGGCUUCGUCACCCGCUCCGUAGGCCCGGCCGGCGCCCGCCGGCGACCCCCCUCAAUCUUUCCAGGUUGACCUCGGAUCAGGUAGGGAUACCCGCUGAACUUAAGCAUAUCAAAAGCGGAGGA
rnacentral:misc_RNA from 1 species